UGAAGUAAGAGGCGAGGUGAAAGGUCAACUUCCCAGCAGCCUUUGCUCUUGUCUCUGGUCUAGGACCCUCGGGGGUGACUGUGUGGGAUUUGCUUAUAGUCUUGUGGUCUGGGUGAGUGUGUGCACGGGAGUUCGGGAGGAAGGGCGGAGCCAGGUGCCGGCCGCGGCGGGCUUCGAGUUCCUGGAGCCUCCGGAGCCUGAAUUGAUGGUGCCGGGCGCACGGGAGACUGGGAGUCGUCGGAGUCUGUCCGUCUGAUCGGUGUUGCUUGUGAACCUUGGACUGCCCCGUCAUAUUCCACCGGUUCAAUACGAGGACCUGCAUUCAAUUCCCAGCAGACACAUGGUAGCCCACAACCAUCUGUAGCUCCAUUUCCAGCAGAUCUGAUGCCCUCUUCUGGCCUCCAAGGACACUGAAUGCACAUAAAAUAAAAAUUAAUUUUCAGCCAGGCAGUGAUGGCACAGACAGAGUUUCUAUGUAUAGCCCUGCUGUCCUGGAACUUGCUCUGAAGACCAGGCUGGCCUCACACCUCCCGCUCCCCCAGAGCAAAGUGUGGUGAUGCACACUUAUAGUCCUAGUGUAAUGGAAAGCUGAGGUGGCCAUGCCACUUUAGCCAAGGGUGACCUUACGCUCAUGGUCCUCCUGCCUCAAAAGCAAUUUAGUAAAUAUGUUUUAAAGAGCAACUUUGCAUUUUUAAAAGACUUUCUUGUUAUCUCUAAUUAUGUGUAUGGUAUAAGUACAUGAGUAUAGGUGCCUGAGGAGACCAGAGGCAUCCAGUCUCCCUGAGCUGGAGUUACAGGCAGUUGUGAGCUUCAGGACAUGGAUGGUGAGAAGAAACCCUGGUCUUCUGUGUGGCAGUAAGUGCUCUAAACUAUUGAGCACUUACUCUCCAGCCCCACAGCUUUUAAUUUUGUAAAGACAAGCACUUGCAGUCUGCUGACUCUGCUUUGUAGAAGAGUGCUGUGACUUAGAAUCAGUUUUAACUCCAAAGAACAUCUUAAACAGACACAAUGUAGAACUUUGUCCACACUGACAUGGUGUUAUCUGAGGGAUCCUCAACAAUCAGUUUUGCUUUGCACCAGUCUUCUAUUUUAUUUUCCUUUUUAAUAAUGUAUUUAUUUGUUGGAGGGAGUGAGCGUGGGACAACUUUCCACAGCUGGGUUAGAUCCUGGGAAUCUGACUAACUUACGUUGUCUGACUUGGCAGCAAGCGUAUUUACCCUUUGAGGUAUCUUGCUAGACUAAGGCUAACUUAUUCUCUGAAAUCGAGUGAGACUCAGUCAUUUAACUUUGCAAAUGAAACCAGCUCCACUGGGGAAAGAUGCCUUCCCUUCAGUUACUGCACAGAUCAUGUGAAAUGAUGUGGCUUCGGGAGGUUAAGUUAAAACCAGGCAAGCAUAAGAUAGGACUUCCUGGGGCCUAUGAAUCAUAGGAGUGGGUCAGCUUCCCAUGCACUUAGAAAAUGCCUACAAAGAGAAAAGUGUUAAACAAAGUUGCCUUUGGAAUUGAACCUGUCUCCUUUUUUCUUAGUCUCACUCAAGGAGGCUUUUAUGCCCAGAGUGACCAGCAACUGUCCUGUAUUGGCCUGGCUGCUCCCCUUUGUAUCUCUUCCCAGUGUGGUGAGUGUGGUUUACUGAUGCCGUGCUUCCUUUGUUUGCCACCUCAUCCAUUGAACUUGACCUCUUCUGCCUUCCUAGCUGAGUCUCUCUUCUUCCCCAUCCCCCUCUACCAAUAAGGAGACUGAACCUAGGCCUUGCUCCCACUAGGCAAACAUCUGCGUCGCACACCCUCAAAAUCAAACAUAGUACUCUCAAAAAUGAUAACCUUAGAAAAUAUCUAUUCAUGCUUUAAGAAAUGUUAUCUUUGUAAUAUAACAUGAAAAGAACUUAAUUCUUGUAGCUUCUGUUUUUAGUCAGAAGGAAGAAUGUGUCAGAUAAGUGAUAAUAGCUGGUAAGUUAAAAGACUAAUAUAGUUAAUAACACCAGCAAAAGUUAUUGAAGUCAUAAAAAUGAACAAAAUCUUUCCAUGGAAGUUUGUAAAAAAUGUAAUAGCUUUAUUCUCAUUUUUAAAUAAAAAUGAGGUCAUAUGUGGCUCAUUCCUGCAAUCCCAGCAUUUGUGAAACCAACACAGAAGAAUUGCUGUAAGUUUGAGGCCAGCGUGAGUUACAAUAUGAGAUCUUGUUUUAAAAAAAAGAAUUAACCCAGCACUUGGGAGGCAGAGGCAGGUGGAUCUCUGCAAGUUCAAGACCAGCCUGGUCUACAGGACAGCCUCCAAAACCACAGAGAAACCCUGUCUCGAAAAACAAAAGCAAAAAAUAAACAAACAAAAAAUUAAUUUAAAUAAAUGAAAUAAAAUUAG
rnacentral:lncRNA from 1 species